rnacentral:rRNA from 1 species
AGGAAAAGAAACUAACAAGGAUUCCCCUAGUAACUGCGAGUGAAGCGGGAAAAGCUCAAAUUUAAAAUCUGGCGGUCUUCGGCCGUCCGAGUUGUAGUCUGGAGAAGUGCUUUCCGCGCUGGACCGUGUAUAAGUCUCUUGGAACAGAGCGUCAUAGAGGGUGAGAAUCCCGUCUUUGACACGGACUACCAGUGCUUUGUGAUGCGCUCUCAAAGAGUCGAGUUGUUUGGGAAUGCAGCUCAAAAUGGGUGGUGAAUUCCAUCUAAAGCUAAAUAUUGGCGAGAGACCGAUAGCGAACAAGUACCGUGAGGGAAAGAUGAAAAGCACUUUGGAAAGAGAGUUAAACAGUACGUGAAAUUGCUGAAAGGGAAACGCUUGAAGUCAGUCGCGUCGUCCGGAACUCAGCCUUGCUUUCGCUUGGUGCACUUUCCGGAUGACGGGUCAGCAUCGAUUUUGACCGUCGGAAAAGGGCUGGAGUAAUGUGGCACCUCCGGGUGUGUUAUAGACUCUAGUCGCAUACGGCGGUUGGGAUCGAGGAACGCAGCGCGCCGCAAGGCAGGGGUUCGCCCACUUUCGCGCUUAGGAUGCUGGCAUAAUGGCUUUAAACGACCCGUCUUGAAACACGGACCAAGGAGUCUAACAUACCUGCGAGUGUUUGGGUGGAAAACCCGAGCGCGUAAUGAAAGUGAAAGUUGAGACCUCUGUCGUGGAGGGCAUCGACGCCCGGACCUGACGUUCUCUGAAGGAUCCGCGGUAGAGCAUGUAUGUUGGGACCCGAAAGAUGGUGAACUAUGCCUGAAUAGGGUGAAGCCAGAGGAAACUCUGGUGGAGGCUCGUAGCGAUUCUGACGUGCAAAUCGAUCGUCAAAUUUGGGUAUAGGGGCGAAAGACUAAUCGAA